rnacentral:rRNA from 1 species
AUUGAACGCUGGCGGCAGGCCUAACACAUGCAAGUCGAGCGAGCGGCGGACGGGUGAGUAAUGUCUGGGAAACUGCCUGAUGGAGGGGGAUAACUACUGGAAACGGUAGCUAAUACCGCAUACCAUCAGAUGUGCCCAGAUGGGAUUAGCUAGGAGGUGGGGUAACGGCCAACCAAGGCGACGAUCCCUAGCUGGGCUGAGAGGAUGACCAGCACAACUGGAACUGGGACACGGUCCAGAGUCCUACGGGAGGCAGCAGUUGGGAAUAUUGCACAAUGGGCGCAAGCCUGAUGCAGCCAUGCCGCGUGUGUGAAGAAGGCCUUCGGGUUGUAAAGCACUUUCAGCGGGGAGGCGUUACCCGCAGAAGAGGCACCGGCUAACUCCGUGCCAGCAGCCGCGGUAAUAC